UACAGAGACUGCGAGCGUUAUUCGGAUUCACUGGGCGUAAAGGGUGCGCAGGCGGCCGUGUGUGUGAGGCGUGAAAGCCCGGGGCUUAACCCCGGAAUUGCACCUCAAACUACACGGCUAGAGCAUUGGAGAGGGUAGCGGAAUUCACGGUGUAGCAGUGAAAUGCGUAGAUAUCGAUGAGGAACACCAGAGGCGAAGGCGGCUACCUGGACAAUUGCUGACGCUCAGGCACGAAAGCGUGGGAGCAAAAGGG
rnacentral:rRNA from 1 species